GGGAUAAUAAAAGGGACUUUCCGUGACUAUAUUGGAAUAUACGCCGAUGCAAAUGAGCAGUCGUCGCUUCCCUUAUAUACCAACUACUAUGUGAGGCCCAUCAUGAACGCUGUGAGUUUGGAGAAGGCGGCUAAUGAUCUCCCAGUGCGCCUCUUUACCCAGACAGCACGGCAGGAUGAUUCAGCAGUGGCACGGCGGUGAUGCUGACAGCACUGUUACCAAAAUGACUCAUCCUGAUGAUGAAGCCAAAGAAAGAAAAAGGAGAGAGAACCUCAUGCUGAAGAGGACAUGGAUCAAAGCAUGAUCAACUCACUGUGGAACCUUCUCACCCUCCUUUAUAAAACAAGUCAAAGUAUCCAUUCAUUAAUCACUACUCACCCAGCACAAAUAAACAGCUGCACCAAGUAUCGACUAUAUGUAUUGUAAAGCGGAGCAUGGUCCAAUAUGGGCAGCCACAAUGUGUCUCCCCUCUUUUCUCUAGUUUGGCCUCAAAACUGACAGUUGGUAGAUUAGUUAACCAACACAAAUGCAAGUAAUUCAUCAUGGAGACAGGGUUUUAAUGUAAACAGUAUGUUGCCCCUAGAGGUUGUUUCCAUGACGAUGAAGGGAGGAGAUGAGCUAGAUGGAUCUCUGCAUACGAUUUAUGACGCCAAUAAAUCAGUAUAAAUGCAUAUGGUUCCACGACUGACACGCACACGCACACACACACACACACAAUGUUUUUUAAGAAGUUCCCAAAAAUAACAAUGUGUCCAGUUCAUUAUGUUAUGUAAUUGACAGAGGCAGAGGGACUGGAGGGCAUGAAGUUACUUUAGCCCUUUCGUAUGACGAUGCUACACUUUGGAAACAGACAGAUGGCUCCUGUUCUCCACACCCUGGAAACUGUUACUGAUUUUGUAAUAUAAAAAAACCAAACAGUUAUGUUAGUAGUAAAGGGGACUGGAUCCACCUGUUAAUUAGUAGGGAAAACUCAGUUGUCAGAGCCCAGUAGAUGGAUCUCCACCAGGGGGUGUGUGGGUGGUAAAGCUGCUAAUGAUGGCUAUUAGACACCUUAUUAAUGUGCUCCGUUGGAAACGUUUCUUCAUUUUCUGUGAUCCGACAAUAAUCUGUGUAUUCUGUUCACUGUGUGCCGACCACAGUUAAAAGCGAAUGCAGUUUAUGAUAUAAUGUUUGGUAAAAUGACAAAGAAGCCUUUCAGAGAAUAACAAGGACACAUGUAAAGUGCUUUUUGUGUGGUCAUUGUUUUUAUAUUGUCAUUAAACAAUACUGUGUCAUACAUUCUUAUA